AAUUCAAUUUUUACGUUAUUAGGCGAAAUCUCAUUUUCAAAGUCACUUUCUUUUACUAAAUGAAGCAAUAUACCGAUUUUGAAGCCAACCGGGACACUACCUUGAAGAAAGGUAAACCAGGUCAGGGAAUAUAUGAUACAAUGAUAAGGAGACUCAUUUUGGUGGCAUUUGUCGAGGAUUAGUUGGGCUGAAACUGAGUUAUCUGUAUUGCAUUAUAGUUAGAU
rnacentral:lncRNA from 1 species